rnacentral:rRNA from 1 species
UGAGGAACAUGACCUUCGGCGGGGGAUAGCCGGCCCAACGGCCGGGUAAUACCGCGUACGACCACUUUGGGACAUCCCUGGGUGGUGAAAGCAGCAAUGCGCCGAUGGAGUGCCUCGCGGCCUAUCAGCUAGUUGGUGAGGUAACGGCUCACCAAGGCAACGAUGCGUAGCCGACCUGAGAGGGUGAUCGGCCACAUUGGAACUGAGACACGGUCCAGACUCCUACGGGAGCAG